rnacentral:rRNA from 1 species
CUGGCGGCGUGCCUAAUACAUGCAAGUCGAGCGAACGGACGAGAAGCUUGCUUCUCUGAUGUUAGCGGCGGACGGGUGAGUAACACGUGGAUAACCUACCUAUAAGACUGGGAUAACUUCGGGAAACCGGAGCUAAUACCGGAUAAUAUUUUGAACCGCAUGGUUCAAAAGUGAAAGACGGUCUUGCUGUCACUUAUAGAUGGAUCCGCGCUGCAUUAGCUAGUUGGUAAGGUAACGGCUUACCAAGGCAACGAUGCAUAGCCGACCUGAGAGGGUGAUCGGCCACACUGGAACUGAGACACGGUCCAGACUCCUACGGGAGGCAGCAGUAGGGAAUCUUCCGCAACGGGCGAAAGCCUGACGGAGCAACGCCGCGUGAGUGAUGAAGGUCUUCGGAUCGUAAAACUCUGUUAUUAGGGAAGAACAUAUGUGUAAGUAACUGUGCACAUCUUGACGGUACCUAAUCAGAAAGCCACGGCUAACUACGUGCCAGCAGCCGCGGUAAUACGUAGGUGGCAAGCGUUAUCCGGAAUUAUUGGGCGUAAAGCGCGCGUAGGCGGUUUUUUAAGUCUGAUGUGAAAGCCCACGGCUCAACCGUGGAGGGUCAUUGGAAACUGGAAAACUUGAGUGCAGAAGAGGAAAGUGGAAUUCCAUGUGUAGCGGUGAAAUGCGCAGAGAUAUGGAGGAACACCAGUGGCGAAGGCGACUUUCUGGUCUGUAACUGACGCUGAUGUGCGGAAGCGU